rnacentral:rRNA from 1 species
GACUGCGUACCUUUUGUAUAAUGGGUCAGCGACUUAUAUUCAGUGGCAAGGUUAACCGUAUAGGGGAGCCGUAGCGAAAGCGAGUCUUAACUGGGCGCUCAGUCUCUGGAUAUAGACCCGAAACCGGGUGAUCUAGCCAUGGGCAGGUUGAAGGUUGAGUAACAUCAACUGGAGGACCGAACCGACUAAUGUUGAAAAAUUAGCGGAUGACUUGUGGCUAGGGGUGAAAGGCCAAUCAAACUCGGAGAUAGCUGGUUCUCCCCGAAAGCUAUUUAGGUAGCGCCUCGGACGAAUACUACUGGGGGUAGAGCACUGUUAAGGCUAGGGGGUCAUCCCGACUUACCAACCCUUUGCAAACUCCGAAUACCAGUAAGUACUAUCCGGGAGACACACGGCGGGUGCUAACGUCCGUCGUGGAGAGGGAAACAACCCAGACCGCCAGCUAAGGUCCCAAAGUAUUGCUAAGUGGGAAACGAUGUGGGAAGGCUCAGACAGCUAGGAUGUUGGCUUAGAAGCAGCCAUCAUUUAAAGAAAGCGUAAUAGCUCACUAGUCGAGUCGGCCUGCGCGGAAGAUGUAACGGGGCUAAGCAAUACACCGAAGCUGCGGCAAUGUCUUUUAGACAUUGGGUAGGGGAGCGUUCUGUAAGCCGUUGAAGGUGAAUCGUAAGGUUUGCUGGAGGUAUCAGAAGUGCGAAUGCUGACAUGAGUAACGACAAAGGGGG